rnacentral:tRNA from 1 species
GCCUUUGUGGUAUAAUGGUGAGCACAUUCGGCGCGUAUUCGAGAGGUCCAGGUUCAAGUCCCAGCGAGGGCA